CCUACGGGUGGCUGCAGUGGGGAAUUUUGCGCAAUGGGCGGAAGCCUGACGCAGCAACGCCGCGUGGAGGAUGAAGGUCUUUGGAUUGUAAACUCCUGUCAGCAGGGAAAAAGGGAUAGGGCUUAAUACGUCUUAGACUUGAUUGUACCUGCAGAGGAAGCCCCGGCUAACUCUGUGCCAGCAGCCGCGGUAAUACAGAGGGGGCAAGCGUUAUUCGGAAUUAUUGGGCGUAAAGGGCGCGUAGGCGGCUAUGCAAGUGACGGGUGAAAUCCCUC
rnacentral:rRNA from 1 species